rnacentral:rRNA from 1 species
UGGGGCGCGAAGCCUGAUGCAGCCAUGCCGCGUGUAUGAAGAACGGCCUUCGGGUUGUAAAGUACUUUCAGCAGUGAGGAAGGUGGUGCAGUUAAUAGCUGUAUCAUUUGACGUUAGCUGCAGAAGAAGCACCGGCUAACUCCGUGCCAGCAGCCGCGGUAAUACGGAGGGUGCGAGCGUUAAUCGGAAUUACUGGGCGUAAAGCGCAUGCAGGUGGUUUGUUAAGUCAGAUGUGAAAGCCCCGGGGCUCAACCUCGGAAUUGCAUUUGAAACUGGCAGACUAGAGUACUGUAGAGGGGGUAGAAUUUCAGGUGUAGCGGUGAAAUGCGUAGAGAUCUGAAGGAAUACCGGUGGCGAAGGCGGCCCCCUGGACAGAUACUGACACUCAGAUGCGAAAGCGUGGGGAGCAAACAGGAUUAGAUACCCUGGUAG